GAUGAACGCUGGCGGCGUGCCUAAUACAUGCAAGUAGAACGCUGAAGGAAGGAGCUUGCUCUUUCCGGAUGAGUUGCGAACGGGUGAGUAACGCGUAGGUAACCUGCCUGGUAGCGGGGGAUAACUAUUGGAAACGAUAGCUAAUACCGCAUAACAGUAGAUAUUGCAUGAUAUCUGCUUGAAAGGGGCAAUUGCUCCACUACCAGAUGGACCUGCGUUGUAUUAGCUAGUUGGUGAGGUAACGGCUCACCAAGGCGACGAUACAUAGCCGACCUGAGAGGGUGAUCGGCCACACUGGGACUGAGACACGGCCCAGACUCCUACGGGAGGCAGCAGUAGGGAAUCUUCGGCAAUGGACGGAAGUCUGAUCGAGCAACGCCGCGUGAGUGAAGAAGGUUUUCGGAUCGUAAAGCUCUGUUGUAAGAGAAGAACGAGUGUGAGAGUGGAAAGUUCACACUGUGACGGUAUCUACCAGAAAGG
rnacentral:rRNA from 1 species